GGGGGAAUGGCGGAACUGGCAGACGCGCAUGACUUAGGAUCAUGUCUCUUACGAGGUGAGGGUUCGAGUCCCUCUUUCCCCAACA
rnacentral:tRNA from 1 species